rnacentral:rRNA from 1 species
CCUACGGGAGGCAGCAGUGAGGAAUAUUGGUCAAUGGGCGGAAGCCUGAACCAGCCAAGUAGCGUGCAGGAUGACGGCCCUACGGGUUGUAAACUGCUUUUAUACGGGAAUAACGCGCCUUACGUGUAGGGCUUUGCAUGUACCGUAUGAAUAAGGACCGGCUAAUUCCGUGCCAGCAGCCGCGGUAAUACGGAAGGUCCGGGCGUUCUCCGGAUUUAUUGGGUUUAAAGGGAGCGUAGGCCGCAUGUCAAGCGUGCUGUGAAAUGUCCGGGUUCAACCCGGGCCUUGCAGCGCGAACUGGCGUGCUCGAGUCCGCGGAAAGCAGGCGGAAUUCGUCGUGUAGCGGUGAAAUGCUUAGAUAUGACGAAGAACCCCGAUUGCGAAGGCAGCUUGCUGCAGCGGAACUGACGCUGAUGCUUGAAAGCGCGGGUAUCGAACAGGAUUAGAUACCCCUGUAGUC